rnacentral:rRNA from 1 species
GACGAACGCUGGCGGCGUGCCUAAUACAUGCAAGUAGAACGCUGAAGGAAGGAGCUUGCUCUUUCUGGAUGAGUUGCGAACGGGUGAGUAACGCGUAGGUAACCUGCCUGGUAGCGGGGGAUAACUAUUGGAAACGAUAGCUAAUACCGCAUAAAAUUGAUUAUUGCAUGAUAGUCAAUUAAAAGGUGCAACUGCACCACUACCAGAUGGACCUGCGUUGUAUUAGCUAGUUGGUGGGGUAACGGCUCACCAAGGCGACGAUACAUAGCCGACCUGAGAGGGUGCUCGGCCACACUGGGACUGAGACACGGCCCAGACUCCUGCGAGAGACAGCCGUAGCGAAUCUUCGGCAAUGGACGGAAGUCUGACCGAUCGACGCCGCGUGAGUGAAGAAGGCUUUCGGAUCGUAAAGCUCUGUUGUAAGAGAAGAACGAGUGUGAGAGUGGACAGUUCACACUGUGACGGUAUCUUACCAGAAAGGGACGGCUAACUACGUG